AAAUAUAAAAAUGAAUGGUAAUGACAGAAAUAAUAAGACGUUACAUACAAAAAGUAAAUCAACUUUAUAUACAUUUGCAAAUAAUUAAUUAUUUAUUUUUUUUUUAAACAGAUAAAAUUAAUCCAAUAAUGAAUAGGGAAGUUAAAAUAAACAGCAAAAGUGAUUUUAUACAUUACUUAAAAAUAUUAAACCACGUGGGAUUUUUUGAAGAUGCAAUUGCUUUAGUUAAAUCCGUCAAAUUUGAUAUUUAUUGUCUGAAUUAUACAGAAGCCCAAGUAUUGGGAUCUGUUUUCAGAAGUGCUUUAAAUGUUAAAAGGAAAGAAAAGAAAACAUUAGAGAAAUAUAUGAAAGAAGUAAUUACUUGUGAAGCAAGAAUGAAAUGUGCUGAAUUACAUAUAGCCAAAUUAAUUAAAGAUAUAAAAUAUAUAGAACUAACUAUUUAUAAUACCAUUAAAAAUAAAUGUAUUACUAAAACUAAUGACGAGCAAACAUUAAUGUGUUACUGGCAUUUAAUUGGGGAUGUUAUGAGAUAUAGCGCAGAAACAAUGAAUGUAGAAAAAAGGUAUAGGGUGCAAGAAAAAAGCCAGCUAGCAUACACUAAUGCCUUGAAAUAUGCAAACAAACUGAAAAUACCUUCAUCAAGAUCAGAAAAAUUAGAAGUUAUAAUUGGUUUAGCAGUUUUAAACAAAGAUAUGGGUAAAGAUAUAAAUGUUUCUAUAGAGAUGUUAGCACAAGCAUUUAGAGAUGCAAUUCAAAAUAUGCACCUUCUUGAGUAAUAUAUAAAAUGAAUUAAUUUGCUUAAAACAAUUUUUUUAGAAAUAAUAAUUAUGCUUUUUAUUUUUUUUAUUUACUGUAUAUAAAAACAGUGUGUUUGCAUGCGUAUAUAAAAACAUUGUGUUUGCAUUCAUAUAUA
rnacentral:lncRNA from 1 species